CCCGAGCCGUCCAAUGCUGUAACCCAAUACAGGUCCACUGAUAAGGUGGGUGGCGGCAAAUAACGCCAUACGAUGAGUAGGGGCGUUAUGUUGAAUACCGGUUAAGGAUAGAA
rnacentral:sRNA from 1 species